CCUACGGGCGGCAGCAGUGAGGAAUAUUUGUCAAUGGGCUUACGCCUGAACCAGCCAAGUCGCGUGAGGGAAGACUGCCCUAUGGGUUGUAAACCUCUUUUGUCAGGGAGCAAUUGGCGCUACGUGUAGCGUUAUCGAGAGUACCUGAAGAAAAAGCAUCGGCUAACUCCGUGCCAGCAGCCGCGGUAAUACGGGGGGUGCAAGCGUUGUCCGGAAUCAUUGGGCGUAAAGAGUUCGUAGGCGGCACGUAAAGUCUGGUGUUAAAGGCAGAGGCUCAACUUCUGUACGGCACUGGAUACUUGCGAGCUAGAAUGCGGUAGAGGUAAAGGGAAUUCCUGGUGUAGCGGUGAAAUGCUUAGAUAUCAGGAGGAACAUCGGUGGCGUAAGCGCUUUACUGGGCCGUAAUUGACGCUGAGGAACGAAAGCCAGGGUAGCAAAUGGGAUUAGAUACCCUUGUAGUC
rnacentral:rRNA from 1 species